CCUGCACCGGAGCAGCAGGAUGGCUCCAGCCACCAAACGCCUUCCUCUGCCAUCUCUAAGUGAUUUUCUAUGUCUGAAGUUCAGCUAUACCCGCAGAUCCUUGUUGAUGAGCUCAUACAUUUCUAAAUAGUAUGCGUUCAUAUUGUGUCGCCCAGAAAGUUCAACACCGUCGUCUCGGGCCGUUCAAUGAUGCGGCUCCAGGAAGUUCGCUGCCGCAUCACCUAGAUCACAGUGACAUUGAACUGAGAAGUCAGUGCAGACGCAAAUUGAGCUACCCUUUCUCUCUUUGAUGCAAGUUUGCAAAGCCAUGUUC